UCCCUGGGCUUAGAGACCCAGGGGCAGGGGCUUGGGGCUAGGGCAGGGCACCUUGGUUCCUAAACACACACACACACACACACACACACACACACACACACACAGUUUUCUCCAAAACACAUUCACAAGGAGGCUCGUGUAAGGUCACACUCAUUCACGCAAGCCCUCUCAUAAAGCGUUUCUGGCGGUGCCCUGCCCCUCCCCCUCUCUGCCAGGUUCCUGGCUGGUCAGAACAGUCCUUCUCGCUCACACUUGCGAAGAACCCCUUACGUGCUCACAGGCGAUCUUACUUCUGUCACGGUUAGAGUGACAGGGGGAAAAGAUGCAAAUUGUACAGUGCAGUUUGGACUCAGGGAGGGGCUUCUGUGCUGUCACACGUGGGGGCGCGCGCGCGCGCACACACACACACACACACACACACACACACACAAGCUGUCUCUCCUUUUGACUACACGCUUGUCUCCUAACCUUAAUCCCUCUCUCCAGCUCUCCUACCAUCCGGUCUAACCGCCCACCAGCUUUCCCGACGCCCCCUUCCUCCCGCAGGCUCCCCUCCCCCGCCUCUCCAGAAACUACGCCCCCAGCCCCUGGGUUCGGCCCCUGCCCCCCUCAGGCACGCGCAUGCCCACUCGACUUCCUCUAGCUCAACCCUAUCUGGCCCAGACAGCCGCCAGGCUGCCUCCGAAAUGACCCAGCAUUUGGCCCAGGACCCCACCCUUCACUCAGUCCUGAGCGCUAAGAAUCAGGAGGACAGCCUUCUGACAUCCAGGAGCUGUGUCAUCCGCUGUUUUGGGGGUGAGGGGACCUACACGAUUGUGUGUGCUCCCCCUACUCACCCAUGCCAUCUUUCUUCUCCUUGGACAGGACUCAGUAACACGUCUUAAACUGAGCUUGAACUCCCAAAUCCCAGACCAAGGACGUUUGAUUUUUGCUGACUCCAAACUUUAAGUCUCUUCACUUACUCUCCGUUCAUUCAUUCGUUCGUUCGUCUCUACAAUCUUACACGCCACGCAAGGCGCCUGGCAUUUGGGGUAUAGGAAUGAGUACACUUGUCACUCCAGACCUCUCAGCUCGCAAUAGACGUGUUACACUUUCCUUAUUCGCCCUUCUUUUUUAAUACUUCUUCUCAGUCCUCAGAUCCCGGCGUUCAAAGGCUAUCUGCCCUUCCAGCACAUGGUGUCUUCCUUCCUUCCUUCCCUCCAGCUCAGCACGAAGUGGUUUCAGGAGUGGGGGGUCCCAGUUAUCUCUCGCGGGGACGUGUUGCCUGGAAUCACAGUGAUAUUCAUCUGCAGGGUUUUUUUUUCUAUUAACUUAAUCACAGUGGUUAAUCACAGAAUUCAUUAACUUAGUGAUUUUAUUUUUCACAUAGAUGUCUUGAAUCUGCCUGGAGUCCAUCUUUGUAUUUAGUGUUAGGCAGGGAUCCAGUACUUUGGGCGGCAUGGACUCGGCCAGUUUUCUCAAGGAUGUCUACCAGAUAAUGGGCCCUUCGCCCCAUCGAUUCGUGGCGCUUCCUUAUAAGCUUCCCAGCAUCUCUGAGCAGGAAGAACCGAGAAAGACCAACACCUUGAUUGGAGAAGUGAGUACCCUGACAGGUAGGCUUUGCGGGGAAAGGGGAGGGAGGAGCAGCCAGGCCUGAGUAGGGGGCCACCACCUGCAGGGUCUGUCUCUGGGCCUAGAGACCUCAGUCCUGCCUCAGUGGCUGUCUUUUGCCCAGCUUCUCCCCAUGUCUGUCAUGCCACACCUUCCACCCCAUCACAUUCCUCCACUGUUGCUGCAAAACACUCUGAGAAUGCCCAAGAAGAGAACCAUAGUGAAUGAAGAGGCCAUUCUUCUAUUCUUUCUCUCCAUGCACUGCUUGUAGGUGGUCAGGGGGUCAUGGCAUUCCCCUGGUACCCAGAGCAAGACAGGGACUCCAUACCCAGGCAUGGAGUCAAUGAUGUGUUUUCAUCCUGGGGUUUCAUCAUUAGGAUGGUCCCUGGGAAAGGUGGGGGCCAGGGGAGGAGAAGCACUGAGCAUGGGUAUCAGAGGGGAAGGCAGAAGGGACGGGUCCAAGGAGGGGAGCUCAGCACCAGCUCCAUCCCUUCUCAUUCCCUAUAGGCACUCCACCAACAUUGUUUGGAACAAAACUUGAGUGGGUGAAAGAUGAAAAAUGUGUGUGUAAAACAUGCAGAAGAAAAGACAGCCAACGUUGGAAUGAACUGAGCAACGAGAUAAAUAAAGUGGUAAAGUGUAAAAUAA